rnacentral:rRNA from 1 species
UACAGAGGUCUCAAGCGUUGUUCGGAUUCAUUGGGCGUAAAGGGUGCGUAGGCGGCGCGGUAAGUCGGGUGUGAAAUCUCGGAGCUUAACUCCGAAACUGCAUUCGAUACUGCCGUGCUUGAGGACUGGAGAGGAGACUGGAAUUUACGGUGUAGCGGAUGAAAUGCGUAGAUAUCGUAAGGAAGACCAGUGGCGAAGGCGGGUCUCUGGACAGUUCCUGACGCUGAGGCACGAAGGUCAGGGGAGCAAACGGGAUUAGAAC